GCCAGCGGCUAACCGCUGGCAUAUGGUCCAACUGAAAAAAUACAGAGAAGAUGUACUCGUGUCUCCCCUAAAUUCCAGCGUUCGAGCACUCACUCAUGGCCCCUGCACUAAGGAUGACACAUGUAAUCAAAGAGACGCAAACCAUUUUU
rnacentral:snRNA from 2 species